rnacentral:rRNA from 1 species
CCUACGGGAGGCAGCAGUGGGGAAUAUUGCGCAAUGGGCGAAAGCCUGACGCAGCGACGCCGCGUGAGGGAUGAAGGUCUUCGGAUCGUAAACCUCUGUCAGAAGGGAAGAACGGUCACUGUGCUAAUCAGCAGUGAAUUGACGGUACCUGCAAAGGAAGCAACGGCUAACUCCGUGCCAGCAGCCGCGGUAAUACGGAGGGUGCGAGCGUUAAUCGGAAUUACUGGGCGUAAAGCGCUCGUAGGCGGUAUGUCAAGUCAAGGGUGAAAUCCCCGCGCUCAACGUGGGAACUGCCUUUGAAACUGGCAGACUGGAGUGUGUGAGAGGAUAGUGGAAUUCCAGGUGUAGGGGUGAAAUCCGUAGAUAUCUGGAGGAACAUCAGUGGCGAAGGCGACUAUCUGGCACAUAACUGACGCUGAGGAGCGAAAGCGUGGGUAGCAAACAGGAUUAGAUACCCGGGUAGUC